rnacentral:siRNA from 1 species
GGUGGUGAGUGAUGAUACUCGA